rnacentral:miRNA from 1 species
ACCAUGAACCUCUGUCUAAGCU